AUGAAAACGCUGAGCUAUUUGAAGCUGAAAAGAUGGAGAAAAUGAUUCAGAUUCACAGAGAAACCAAUCUCCUGCUUGCAAUUUUAUGCCUAGGCAAACUCAAUCAAAUAUAAAUGGAAAAUGAAGAAUAACAACAAGUUCAUACCUGUUGACUGCCAAAACCACAUCUUCAAGCCCUUGCUCAGAUGGUAACUAAUGCUUUUCAGUUUCCCUGUGAAAUAUGGAGACAUGUAAGCCAGAGAAUUUGACUUCAACUGAGGAAGAGAAAAUGGAAUUCUUAGACUGUUGGGCCUGGGGACCCAAGAGCCAGAUCUGGCUGUGUCCUGAUUCCCCCAUACUGCGCUACCCCACCCUUGGAGUGGUGUCCUGUGGCUUCCCACAGCCUGACACCCACCCAGAGGCAGCUUGGGAAACGAUUUUGGAUCAACAGAUUUGUAGGUUGAUUUGCAGGUUGAGAUUUCAGUUGGUUUCGCCAUCCCUCCACUCGGACAUUCUAUCUAACUACUGAAGCUUCUGAGAUCUAAAAUUUGCUCCUCAUGCUUGAAAGGCAAGCAUUUAUGACUGCGUUGCCACUCCAGCCCCAAUUUGUAUCUUAAAGUUGUAAAAUCUAAUUUUGAAGAAAUCAGAAAGACAUUGUCUACUGAGUAGCUCCCCUCAGGAUGAUUUUUUCCCCCUGCUGGCUCCCUUUUUCUUCAUUAUUUUAAUGGCUACAUCUUUGCUCUGAUGUGUCAAUGGAAGUGGAAAAUCCAGUGAAGCCAGAGCUUAGAGAAACGCCAGCUGGAACAGAAGGAUAAAGUUUCUUUGGAGAAGCUUCAAAGAGAUGCGGGCUGGGUGAUUGAAAACUUGUUGCUCUUCAGGAUCAUAUCAUGACAUCUAAGCUACAUAGAAGGUAGGAGGAACAGAAACGAGGGAAAACACAAAGAACAACUAUCUCUCAGCUGGAGAAUGAUUUUUCUCUGUGACUUUGAGCAAACUUCUGUAUUUCCUUUUAUUCUUGGUAUUUAAAAUUGGAAUUAAACUCCUUUUGCAACUUA
rnacentral:lncRNA from 1 species